rnacentral:rRNA from 1 species
UACGUAGGGAGCAAGCGUUGUCCGGAAUCAUUGGGCGUAAAGCGCGCGUAGGCGGCCCGAUAAGUCCGCUGUAAAAGUCAACGGCUCAACUGUUGAAAGCCGGUGGAUACUGUCGGGCUAGAGUACGGAAGAGGCAAGUGGAAUUCCGGGUGUAGCGGUGGAAUGCGUAGGGAUCCGGAAGAACACCGGUGGCGAAGGCGGUCUGCUGGGCAGUGGCUGACACUGAGGCGCGACAGCGUGGGGAGCAAACAGG